UACAGAGGGGGCAAGCGUUAUUCGGAAUUAUUGGGCGUAAAGGGCGCGUAGGCGGCUUGGCAAGUGGAUGGUGAAAUCCCUCGGCUUAACCGAGGAACUGCCGUCCAAACUGCUUUGCUUGAGACCGGGGAGAGGUGAGUGGAAUUCCCAGUGUAGCGGUGAAAUGCGUAGAUAUUGGGGAGGAACACCAGUGGCGAAGGCGGCUCACUGGACCGGUACUGACGCUGAGACGCGAAAGCUAGGGGAGCAAACGGG
rnacentral:rRNA from 1 species